UGUCAUGGCGGUUGUGCGUGGGAGACCUCAGGGUCUGCCGGGUUCUAGGGGCCGGUCUGCUAACCCGCGUACAGUCGCCACCUUU
rnacentral:antisense_RNA from 2 species